AACGAACGCUGGCGGCGGGCUUAACACAUGCAAGUCGAACGCUCGUAGCGAUACGAGAGUGGCAGACGGGUGAGUAACACGUGGGAACAUACCCUUUGGUUCGGAACAACGCGUGGAAACGCGCGCUAAUACCGGAUAAGCCUCUGGAGUGAUCCGGGGGAAGAUGAUNCGAGAUGCCGCGUCGAUAGCUGUUGGUGAGGUAACGGCUCACCAAGGCAUCGAUCGGAGCUGGUCUGAGAGGAUGGCCAGCCACAUUGGGACUGAGACACGGCCCAAACUCCUACGGGAGGGCAGCAGUGGGGAAGUAUUGGGACAAUGGGCGGCAAGCCUGAUCCAGCCAUGCCGCGUGAGUGAUGACGGCCGUUA
rnacentral:rRNA from 1 species